rnacentral:rRNA from 1 species
UACGGGGGGGGCAAGCGUUGUUCGGAAUUACUGGGCGUAAAGGGCGCGUAGGCGGCUCACUAAGUCGGAUGUGAAAACUCUGGGCUCAACCCAGAGCCUGCAUCCGAAACUGGUGGGCUAGGGUGCUGGAGGGGAUAGCGGAAUUCCUGGUGUAGCGGUGAAAUGCGUAGAUAUCUGGAGGAACACCGGUGGCGAAGGCGGCAUUCUGGACCGAUAUUGACGCUGAGGAGCGAAAGCCAGGGGAGCAAACGGG